rnacentral:misc_RNA from 1 species
GAUGAAGAACGUAGCGAAAUGCGAUAAGUAGAGUGAAUUGCAGAAUUCAGUGAAUCAUCGAAUCUUUGAACGCACAUUGCGCCCCUUGGUAUCCCGAGGGGCAUGCCUGUUCGAGCGUCAUUUCACCACUCAAGCCUGGCUUGGUGUUGGGCGACGUCCCCUUUGGGGACGCGCCUCGAAACGCUCGGCGGCGUGGCACCGGCUUUAAGCGUAGCAGAAUCUUUCGCUUUGGAAGUCGGGGCCCCGUCUGCCGGAAGACCUACUCGCAAGGUUGACCUCGGAUCAGGCAGGGAUACCCGCUGAACUUAAGCAUAUCAAUAAGCGGAGGA